GAUUGGCCUUAACCCCUCUGUUAAUCACGUGUUAAUUACAUGUUAAUCACAUGUAGAUCCCAUGUUGACCCUGUGUUGACCUUGUGUCCCAUCACAU